CCUUAUAGGUGGAGCAUACUUCCUCAAUCCACUGACCUGAAUCUUGACCAUGUGGCUUACAUUGUCCAGUGAAAUAUAAGGAGAAGUUCAGUGUGACAGUGAGGAGUGCAGACUUUCAGAUGCAAUGAGUGUUUCUUCUCGUUGUUCUGUGCUCCUGUCCUGCACCAUAAGAGCAUGUCCCAGGUCAUCAUGUUCUUUUGACCAGGCUCCUGGAAUGAGAGACGCUUGGAGCUGACCUGAACUGGACCUCUAGAAGCAGAGAUGCUGAGAACAUCUGCAGAUACAUGAUGGAUUGAGCAGUCCCUGAGUCAUAUACUCUACCAGAGAAUGAAUGAUGUCUGGUAAAUAAGAUGAUGAAUCUGACACAUAAAAGUACUGAGGGCCCAGUCAAGGCAAUAUCACUGGCUGUGAAAUGCUGAAGAGAAUCAGUUGAAAGAGAAAGAAGAAUGAAUUGGAAAAGCAAAUACUUCUGUGUUCUACUGUCAAAUGUGAUGCAUUCAAAUAAGGGAUGUUAUGACAGAAAAAACAAAUCUUCCUCAACUUGUCCACAUCAGUUCCAUUCCCUCAUUUAUAGGGAAGCUUGAGGAAUGUUUAGUGAAAUGCUGGCAAAUAGACUUCAAGAGAAAGUCUAAUUAGUAAUGUUUUUUCUUCUAAGGUAAGUAGAGAAAAAAAGGUAAUUAUGGAAACCCCAAGUUUCGUUCUCAAAUUUAAGCCCAACUUAAAUAUAGUUUAAGGUCUUUCUUCCUUUAAACUCACCACUCUUACUGCUUUUUGAUUUUGUCUUCUGAGGCUCAUCUAUCUCCAAAUCAACCAGGAAAAAAAAGUAGAAGAAAAUCACCAGCUGUUGGGAAAGUUAUUUAGAGGAUGUUAGCCAGAUUAAUCUUUACAUAAUAAUUAUGAAUUAGUAACGUUUCUCCUCCAUAAAAUCCACAUAUUUAGUGAGCUUCAGAGAACAUAGAAGAGGCAAGAGAAAAUGACAGUGAAGUGAUGUAUUAGCCAUGGCUCUCUAGAGGGACAAGACUAAUAAGAUAGACAUAUAUAUGAAAGGGAGUUUAUUAAGGAGUAUUGACUGACACAGUCACAAGGUGAAGUCCCACAAUAGGCCGUCUGCCAUCUGAGGACCAAGGAAGCCAGCCCAAGUCCCCAAACCUCAAAAGUAGGAAAACCAACAGUGCAGCCUUCAGCCUGUGGCCAAAGGCCCGGGAGACCCUGGUAAACCACUGUAUAGGUCCAAGAGUCCAAAAGCUGAAGAACCUGGAGUCCGAUAUUCAAGGGCAGGAAGCAUCCAGCAUGGGAGAAAGAUGAAGGCCGGAAGACUCAGCCAGUCUAGUCCUUCCACGUUCUGUCUGCUUUAUUCUAGCUAUUCUGGCAGCUGAUUAGAGAUCGUGCCCACCCAGUUUGAGGGUGGGUCUGCCUCUCCCAGUCCACUGACUCAAAUGUUAAUCUCCUUUGGCAACACCCUCAAAGACACACCCAGGGACAAUACUUUGCAUUCUUCAAUCCAAUUAAGUUGACAGUAUUAACCAUCACAAGUGCUUCAUCAUGUUAUAAUAAAACAGAAUUAUGGCUUCAAGGACCCGCAGUCUUUAAAACUACCCACACAAAAGAUAAAAGGGAACUAAAAUUAUAAUUUCCCAAGGAUUAACAGUAUAAGCUUCAUUCUAAGUGAAUUAAAUAAUUUGUCAAUUUCCUCUUCAUACUGAAAGUAACCAUACUAGGAUAUAACAUGUGUUGGAAAAGUGAUUACAAAUGACUCAAAUCAGUGCCCUAAAAUUUCAAACAAAUUCCCACUAUUGAUACAUAAGGAAUCCACAUUGGGAUUAGCAGUAUUAUUCACUUAUGCAAAAAUAUCUUUUGACAUGAGGUGAAAACAUAACCUCUGAACACAGUCAUUCUUUUAGGUUUUCAGUGGGAAUUGUGCCUAAGUGAUUAGGAAAGGAUAUGGUCCAAUAAAUAAACUGAAAAUUUUGUAACAAGUGGUAGAGUAAUACAUAUUAAUUCUGAACAGAUUGACACUGUAAUUUGGGAUAAAAACCAUAAUGAUUACAGAACACAGUCAGUGUAAGUCUGAUGGACUAGAACAGAUGUGUCCACCUGUUUAGGGUCCAGCUCUGCUUCACUUGGGCUGCAUAACACUAGCUAUUUGGAAAGGCAUACAGGUUAGGAAACAGAAAAUAUAUUGGAUUCUGGAUCAAUUUUUGUUCUUCUAUGUAACAAUUAACGUCAAAAAGACAGAGCACACCAAAGGCUAAAAUAAAAGAAAGUCUAGAGGAGAUGUAAACAUUAUUACAUGCCUUUCAUUGGAGAUAAUUUGGAAACCUUCAUAAAGAGAUUUUCAAGGUCAGGAGUGUGUAAUAGAUUCAAACUGUUUUUGUUUUUCUAACAUCAACAAAUCUUGUAUAAAUUAACUCAAUCGGAGUUUUUUUAAAAUGCUAAACUGAAGAAAGAUGGAAAGAGACUCCAAUAUUAUAAUGUUCAUGCCUAGGGGCACUCCAUAUAUCCAAUACCAAGUAAGACUAGGCUUUUGUGAAUAUUUAUCACUUGAAAUCAUGGGGAAAAUACUUUUUUCUUGACAGAAUAUGCCCCAGGUUUAAAGAUUAUACUGUACAUCAUUAAGGGGUAAUUUUAUUUUUUCUUAAGGUAGAAGGAGAUAUCAGUACUAUAAUAAUAAAUCUGCCUCUUUGUUAUAAGAAAAGUUUAAUGUGUGGUCAUAAACAUUGUUUGUUUUAAAGACAGAUUGUUAUAGAUGUAUUAUUAAAAAUAUCCAUCCUGUCUGUACUCUUUAUACUUUCUUACUUAAAUUUAUUAACAAAAUUGGGUAUAUGUGUGCCAUUCUUUCUCUGUUGUCUCUGCCAUCCUCUGGAUAUUUAGCCAAUCCUUAACCUAAAAAGCCUUUGUCAUUAUAAGGGUAAAACAUCAUUUUGUUAUAUCUUAAUAUAGAGAAACCAGUCUUCUAGCUCAUUUAUAAUCUUCAAAUGUGUUUGUUGGAGAUGUUUUGUAUUCGUUAAUUUAUUUGAUUUUUUGUAUAAUAAUUUCCCUCCAAAUAAGGUUUUCAAAUUUCAUAAUGAGAAGAACACAGGUUAGUUUAGAGUACUGUAGAUAUAUUCUUGUCAAAGAUAUCAACUGGGUAAAAUGCUAUCGGAAACAUCCAAGAAGUUUAAAAAGUUUUGUUGGCCAGGUGUGGUGGCUCAUGCCUGUAAUUCCAGCACUUUGGGAGGCCGAGGUGGGCAGAUAAUUUGAAGUCAGAAGUGUCAGACCAGCCUGGCCAACAUGGCGAAACCCCUUCUCUACUAAAAAUACAAACAUUAGCUGGGUGCAGUGGCAGGUGCCUGUAAUCCCAGCUACUUGGUAAGCUGAGGCAGGAGAAUUGCUUGAACCUGGGAGGCAGAGGUUGCAGUGAGCUGAGAUCACGCCACUGCACUCCGGCCUGGGUGACAAGAGUGAAACUCUGUCUCAAAAUAAAUAAACAAACAAACAAAUAAAAUAAAUAGAUAAAUAAAUAAAUAAAUAAAUAAAAUUUUGUCUUCCUUGCUUGCCAUUUCUUAUAAUCAGAAAAACUAGAGAAACAUCUUUCAACAUAGUCUAUAUGCAGUACCAGAUUUGACAGAAUUUGUAUUAUCCAAAAACUCUAGUGGGUAAAUGGCAUUAUAGUUUAUAAUGAGAAUAUUUUGUCAUACUCUUUGCACUCAAGGAAGUGUAAAAAUUUAACAGAUAUACAAAAAGGAAGAGAAAACUAAUAUAAAUAGAUGAGAGAUCUGCAAGUGUCCCAUCCAUUUAGAGGGCCAAAACAGUGAUUGAUUUCAGGGCAAUUAUGUAUUUGCUAUAAAUUCCUGUUUUGAGGUCAAAAAAUUAAAAGUGUUCAGAAAAAUUGAUGUAGUUUAUGCAAUUCUGGACAUAGUACAUUUUAUCUUAUCAGUGUUAUUUUAUAAUAUUCAGAGUAGAUAUAUUAAAAAUAAUAAAAUCAUGACCUAAUGACUACAUUACUGUGUAAUUACAGAUGCAACAUAUUAUAGUGGAUGACUAAAGACUUUUUAGAUUCUGUAGUUGUUUAAAUUCAGUAGUUUCAAAUUCUGACUGUGUAUCAGCUGGGAAACUUUUAAACAAUACUGAUGUCUUGGUGCCUAGCUCCCGUAUCCCCACCCUCCCACUCAUGGAUUGUCAUACAAUUGACCUGAGGUGGGGCCCAGGCAUUAAUUUUUUUUUUGAACUUUUAUUUUAAGUUCAUGGGUACAUGUACAGUUUCUUUACCUAGUUAAGCUUAUGUCAUGUGCAUCCAACAAAGGUCUAAUAUCCAGCAUCUGUAAGGAACUUAAACACAUUUUCAAGAAAAAACAAACAGCCCCAUAAAAAAGUGGGCAAAGACUUGAACAGGCAUUGAUUUUCUUUCUUUUUUUUUUUUAUUAUACUUUAAGUUCUAGGGUACAUGUGCACAACGUGCAGGUUUGUUACAUAGGUAUACAUGCGCCAUGUUGGUUUGCUGCACCCAUCAACUCGUCAUUUACAUUAGGUAUUUCUCCUAAUGCUAUCCCUCCCCUAGCCCCCCACCCCACGACAGGCCCCCGGUGUGUGAUGUUUGCUGCCCUGUGUCCAAGUGUUCUCAUUCUUCAGUUCCCACCUAUGAGUGAUAACAUGCAGUGUUUGGUUUUCUGUCCUUGUGAUAGUUUGCUGAGAAUGAUGGUUUUCAGCUUCAUCCAUGUCCCUGUAAAGGACAUGGACUCAUCCUUUUUUAUGGCUGCAUAGUAUUCCAUGGUGUAUAUGUGAAAUAUUUUCUUUAUCCAGUUUAUCAUUGAUGGGCAUUUGGGUUGGUUCCAAGUCUUUGCUAUUGUGAAUAGUGCCACAAUAAAUAUACGUGUGCAUGUGUCUUUAUAGUAGCAAGAUUUAUAAUCCUUUGGGUAUAUACCCAGUAAUGGGAUGGCUGGGUCAAAUGGUAUUUCUAGUUCUAGAUCCUUGAGGAAUCGCCACACUGUGGUUGAACUAAUUUACACUCCCAUCAACAGUGUAAAAGUGUUCCUAUUUCUCCACAUCCUCUCCAGCACCUGUUGUUUCCUGACUUUUUAAUGAUCACCAUUCUAACUGGUGUGAGAUGGUAUCUCACUGUGGUUUUGAUUUGCAUUUCUCUGAUGGCCAGUGAUGAUGAGCAUUUUUUCAUGUGUCUGUGGGCUGCAUAAAUGUCUUCUUUUGAGAAAUGUCUGUUCAUAUCCUUUGCCCACUUUUUGAUGGGGUUGUUUGCCUUUUUUGUAAAUUUGUUUAAGUUCUUUGUAGAUUCUGGAUAUUAGCCCUUUGUCAGAUGGGUAGACUGCAAAAAUUUUCUCCCAUUCUGUAGGUGAACAGGCAUUGAUUUUCUAAGAGCUCUUUUGGUCAUUACAUUGUGAAGCCAGGGUUGAGAAAUAAUUAUCUUCAUUUUUCUGUUCCUAAAUUGGGUUAACUGGAGCCAUUUCUCCUUAUAUCGAUGAGAUCUUAUGAGAAACAGUUAAUAAAAUAUCUUCACAUACAUUUGUGUAACAUUUUAUGGUUGUCAAAAAGAGUUUCAAAUCUAUUGGAGGUACACUAGGUAAUUAAAGACUACAACAGAGGUAAAUACGUUUUUUGGAAAGAUCACUUGUCUAAAUCUUGGUGGUGUCAGUGAAUACUUCCUGGGGAAAGAGACUACAAAUCUUUGGCAUGAAAUGCAAAUUGGGGUUCAAGGUUAAUCUGUGCAGAAACGCAUGUCAGUAUUCCAUUCCUUUUUAUGGUCAAAUAAUAUUCCAUGGUAUGAAUAAUCCACAAGAAUUUAGUCACAGAAAACCACAUAUUAUAUGAUUCCACUUAUAUGAAAUAUCUGGAAGAGACAAAUCUAUAGAGACAGAAAGUUGAUUAACAGUUGCAUAGAACUGGGCUGUAAGGGGUAUGGGGAGAUUGGUAAGUAACAGCUAAUGAGUACAGAGUUUCACUUUGUAGUGAUUACGAAGUUCUAAAAGUGAUGGUUGAACUUAUCUGUAAAUAUACUAAAAACCAUUGAAUUAUGCAGUUUAAAUGGGCAAAUUAUACAUCCUGUGAAAUAUAUCUCAAUAAAGUUGUUCUGAAAAACAAGUAGGCUUGCAAGACCAGAUGAGUGAGAGCACUGUAUCUGGAGGGAGAAAUCUCAGAAAGCAAGGAGAGUUUAGAAACUGGUAAGUAGCUCCAGAUGGCUGGCACAUAGGGUUAGAGAAGGGUCCCAGAGGUGGUUAGAAGUGAAGCUAAAUAAAACAAAUGGGUCUGAUCAUGAAAGAUAUGUUUAGCCUUUAAAUUUUUAAAAGUUGUGGUAAAAUAUAUACAACAUUUAUCGUCUUAACCAUUUUUAGUGGGUAGUUCAGUAGUGUUAAAUAUAUUCACAUUAUCGUGCAAUCCAAUAUCUGGAACUGUUUUAUCUCACAAUACUGAAACUCUAUGUCUGUUAAAUAACAAUUCCCCAUCUCCUCCUGCCCUAGCCCCAGGGAAGUAUGGUGACUAUAUAUCAUCAAAUAAAAAAUGUCAACAAAGAGACAGAAAUUGUUAGAAAGAACCAAGUGAAAGUUUUGAAAUUGAAAAGUGAAAUAAGAGUGAUUAGAAAAUCACUAGAUGACCUCAAUAGUAGGUUUUAGCAUUAAAGAAAUAAUUAGUGAAUUUGAGGAUAAAUGAUUAGAAAUGAGGCCAUGUGAGUAGGAGAGAGAAAAAACAAUGAAAACUUGUUCACAGAGACACAAUCAUUCUACCAUAAAGACAUAUGCACACGUAUGUUCAUGACAGCACUAUUCACCAUAGAAAAGACAGAGAAUCAACCUAAAUGCCCAUCAGUGGUAGAUUGGAUAAAGAAAAGGUAGUACAUAUACAGCAUGGUAUAAUAUGCAGCCAAAGAAAUGAAUGAGAUCAUGUCCUUUGCAGCAACAUGAAGGAGCUAGAGGUCAUUAUUCCAAGUGAACUAACAUAGGAACAGUAAACCAAAUGCUGCAUGUUCUCACUUGUAAUUGCAAGCUAAACACUGAGUACAUAUGGACACAAAGAAGGGAACAACAGACAGUGGGGCCUUCUUGAGGGUGGAUGCUGGGAGAAAGGUGAGGAUCGAAAAACUACCUAUCAAUCAGGUUACUAUGCUCAUCACUUGGGUAAUGAUCUGUACAGCAAACCCUUGUGAUGCACAAUUGACCUGUAUAACAAACCUGCACAUGUACUCCUGAACCUAAAAUAGAAGUUAAAAAAUAAAGAAGAAAUUUGCAAAAAACCCACCAGAGACUCAGAGAAAUGUGGGAUGGACCAUUAAGUCCAUCCAUAUAUGCGUAAUGAGAGUACCAAAAGAGAGAGCAUGAAAGGGACAGAAGAAAACAUUCUAUGAAAAAAAUGGCUAAAAACUUCCUGAAUGUGAGGAAAACUAGUAAUUUACAUAUCCAAGAAGCUAAAUAACUCCAAGCAGAAUAAAUGCAAAAAACAAAAUCAUAACUAUAUACACUGCAGCCAAAAUAUUAAAAGUCAAAAAGAAAGAGAAUAUCUUUAAAGCUCUAAGAGAAAAACAACUCAUCAUGUACAGGAAAAUCACAAUAAGAUUAAUAGUAAAUUCUUCUGAAAAUAAUAGAGGCCAGAGGCAAUGAGAUGACAAAGUGAUGAAGUUAAAACAAAAUAAAA
rnacentral:lncRNA from 10 species